rnacentral:lncRNA from 1 species
AACUAAAUAAUUGUAAAAUUCAAGCGAUUUCUGUAAUUUAGUUCUUUUUUUUCUCACGAUAUUACGGCUAUUUCUCCUAUUAGUUCAACAGAAAAAAAGGACAUUAACAAAAAUGUAUGCUUUUUUCGAAGGCAGAUUGUGAGCGUAAAUUAACGGUGACCCCAUUUUUUAUUUUCAUUUUUCUAAUAAGUAUAAGAUAAAGUUCAUUUAUAGAAAAAUAUAGCGAAAUCCUAUAUUAAAUAAAAAAAAUGAUUUAGACCCGCGAGCCCCUUAAA